UACGUAGGGCGCAAGCGUUGUCCGGAAUUAUUGGGCGUAAAGAGCUCGUAGGUGGCGUGUCGCGUCUGCCGUGAAAACUCGGGGCUUAACCCCGGGCCUGCAGUGGGUACGGACAGACUAGAGGUAGGUAGGGGAGAAUGGAAUUCCCGGUGUAGCGGUGAAAUGCGCAGAUAUCGGGAGGAACACCGGUGGCGAAGGCGGUUCUCUGGGCCUUACCUGACGCUGAGGAGCGAAAGCGUGGGAGCGAACAGG
rnacentral:rRNA from 1 species